GAUCAACGCUGGCGGCGUGCUUAACACAUGCAAGUCGAACGAAGUUUUUCUUUCGGGAGGAACUUAGUGGCGGACGGGUGAGUAACGCGUGGGUAACCUGCCCUGUACAGGGGGACAACAGCUGGAAACGGCUGCUAAUACCGCAUAAGCCCUUAGCACUGCAUGGUGCAUAGGGAAAAGGAGCAAUCCGGUACAGGAUGGACCCGCGUCUGAUUAGCCAGUUGGCAGGGUAACGGCCUACCAAAGCGACGAUCAGUAGCCGAUCUGAGAGGAUGUACGGCCACAUUGGGACUGAGACACGGCCCAGACUCCUACGGGAAGCAGCAGUGGGGAAUAUUGCACAAUGGAGGAAACUCUGAUGCAGCGACGCCGCGUGAGUGAAGAAGUAUUUCGGUAUGUAAAGCUCUAUCAGCAGGAAAGAAAAUGACGGUACCUGACUAAGAAGCACCGGCUAAAUACGUG
rnacentral:rRNA from 1 species